rnacentral:rRNA from 1 species
AGUGAACGCUGGCGGUAGGCCUAACACAUGCAAGUCGAACGGCAGCACAGUAAGAGCUUGCUCUUACGGGUUGCGAGUGGCGGACGGGUGAGGAAUACAUCGGAAUCUACUUUUUCGUGGGGGAUAACGUAGGGAAACUUACGCUAAUACCGCAUACGACCUACGGGUGAAAGCAGGGGAUCUUCGGACCUUGCGCGAUUGAAUGAGCCGAUGUCGGAUUAGCUAGUUGGCGGGGUAAAGGCCCACCAAGGCGACGAUCCGUAGCUGGUCUGAGAGGAUGAUCAGCCACACUGGAACUGAGACACGGUCCAGACGCCUACGGGAGGCAGCAGUGGGGAAUAUUGGACAAUGGGCGCAAGCCUGAUCCAGCCAUACCGCGUGGGUGAAGAAGGCCUUCGGGUUGUAAAGCCCUUUUGUUGGGAAAGAAAAGCAGCAGGUUAAUACCCCGCUGUUCUGACGGUACCCAAAGAAUAAGCACCGGCUAACUUCGUG